rnacentral:pre_miRNA from 1 species
GUGAGUGUUUCUUUGGCAGUGUCUUAGCUGGUUGUUGUGAGCAGUAGUCGAGGAAGCAAUCAGCAAGUAUACUGCCCUAGAAGUGCUGCAC